GAAAGGGCCUCAGAGCGUUCCACCACCACGGCUGUGGGAAAGACCCGCUCCCGCGGCUCCCUCAUAGGUCAUGCUCUCCGCGUCGCACAAGAUGGGAUCAGAAGUGGUCCGAGAAAUAUGCACGCUGUAGUGGGACAGGCACUGAAGAAGGAAACACCGGGGUUACCCAGCAGAACUCUUGGAUGAAUAUCAAUGUUUUGAUCCCCCUUUAAAGAAAGUAACCACAGCUAUCCCAGGGAUGAAUUCCAACAUAGCCCGUGGCGGCCAUCGGAGCGGGAGCUGAUCAGACCGUUGGUUAUCUUCCCACACAUCUGCCUGAGAUAGAGACUUGUAGGCCAGAAGAGAGAGUGGAGCUCAUGGGAUUGGAGUUACACGUGGUGGCUGGCAAUCAAAA
ensembl:lncRNA